CACUCCCCGCUCCCCUGCAAACUAUCCCAAAAAUCGAGUAGUAUGACAAAAAGAUUCAAAGAGGGAGGUCACGCUCACGUCACGCUAUUAAGCGGUUUCAUUCUGUCCACGCUUUUGGAUACCUUCGCGUAAUAUUAAUAUCAAGCUAUGGAAACAGCAAAGUCUCAAAAGAAAACCAGGGAAGACAUUUUUGAAGCCAAAAGAAAAGCUAGCCGAAUACGUCAUG